GGUUGUGGCUCAAUGGUAGAGCACUUGCCUCACAUGCAGAAAGCACUGGGUUCGAUUCUCAGCACCA
rnacentral:tRNA from 1 species